UACGUAGGGUGCAAGCGUUGUCCGGAAUUAUUGGGCGUAAAGAGCUCGUAGGCGGUUUGUCGCGUCUGCUGUGAAAACCCGGGCUCAACCCCGGGCCUGCAGUCGAUACGGGCAGACUAGAGUGUGGUAGGGGAGACUGGAAUUCCUGGUGUAGUGGUGGAAUGCGUAGAUAUCGGGAGGAACACCAGUGGCGAAGGCGGUUGCCUGGGGCUUUGCUGACGCUGAUGCGCGAAAGCGUGGGGAGCGAGUCCGG
rnacentral:rRNA from 1 species